GAUGAAGAACGUAGCGAAAUGCGAUACGUAAUGUGAAUUGCAGAAUUCAGUGAAUCAUCGAGUCAUUGAACGCACAUUGCGCCCCCUGGUAUUCCGGGGGGCAUGCCUGUCCGAGCGUCAUUGCUGCCCUCAAGCACGGCUUGUGUGUUGGGCCUCCGUCCUCCUCCCGGGGGACGGGCCCGAAAGGCAGCGGCGGCACCGCGUCCGGUCCUCGAGCGUAUGGGGCUUCGUCACCCGCUCUUGUAGGCCCGGCCGGCGCUUGCCGACACAUCAAUCUUUUUUCCAGGUUGACCUCGGAUCAGGUAGGGAUACCCGCUGAACUUAAGCAUAUCAAUAAGCGGAGGA
rnacentral:misc_RNA from 1 species